rnacentral:rRNA from 1 species
GAUGAACGCUGGCGGCGUGCCUAAUACAUGCAAGUCGAGCGAACAGAUAGGGAGCUUGCUCCUUUGACGUUAGCGGCGGACGGGUGAGUAACACGUGGGUAACCUACCUAUAAGACUGGAAUAACUCCGGGAAACCGGGGCUAAUGCCGGAUAACAUUUAGAACCGCAUGGUUCUAAAGUGAAAGAUGGUUUUGCUAUCACUUAUAGAUGGACCCGCGCCGUAUUAGCUAGUUGGUAAGGUAACGGCUUACCAAGGCAACGAUACGUAGCCGACCUGAGAGGGGGAUCGGCCACACUGGAACUGAGACACGGUCCAGACUCCUACGGGAGGCAGCAGUAGGGAAUCGUCCGCAAUGGGCGAAAGCCUGACGGAGCAACGCCGCGUGAGUGAUGAAGGUCUUCGGAUCGUAAAACUCUGUUAUUAGGGAAGAACAAAUGUGUAAGUAACUGUGCACGUCUUGACGGUACCUAAUCAGAAAGCCACGGCUAACUACGUG